rnacentral:rRNA from 1 species
GCUUAUGAGAGCCUUUGUGGCCCCGCAAGGGGUACCCGCCGCGACUAUAAAGAAGGCAAGUUGGGUAUUAAAUCGCAAGUCAGCCGUUCAGAACGGCUGGCCACACUUUCGAAUUGCGGGGAAACCCUAAAGCCCAUCCUCCACCAACCGGUCAGGGAAAUCUGAACGGGGCCUGCGUUAACAGCACAGGAUACGGUAACAGCGAGGUGGGAUAGGUCGGCUCCGGCUGACAGUAUGGGCAAUCCGCAGCCAAAUCCCUAAGGCCCUCCGAACGGGCUACGGGAGAGGUUCACAGACUAAGUGGAAGUGGGCUUGGAUCCCAACCGAUCCGGGCUUAAGAUAUAGUCGGGCCGUUUGCGAGAGCGAACGGGAGUCACAACCGUUCCGUAGGUGAACCUGCGGAAGGAUCAUUACC